rnacentral:rRNA from 1 species
ACGCACGCUGGCGGCGUGCUUAACACAUGCAAGUCGAACGAUGAAGAAGAGAAACGCGAACUUCGGUUCAAAUUUCACUUCGGAUUAGUGGCAGACGGGUGAGUAACGCGUGAGCAACCUACCUCUUACAAAGGGAUAGCCUCGGGAAACCGUGAUUAAUACCAUAUGACACAUUCAUAAGGCAUCUUAAGAAUGUUAAAGCUACGGCGGUAAGAGAUGGGCUCGCGUCCCAUUAGCUAGCUGGUGAGGUAACGGCCCACCAAGGCGACGAUGGGUAACCGGCCUGAGAGGGUGAACGGUCACAUUGGAACUGAGACACGGUCCAAACUCCUACGGGAGGCAGCAGUGGGGAAUAUUGCACAAUGGAGGGAACUCUGAUGCAGCGACGCCGCGUGAGCGAUGAAGGAAUUCGUUUCGUAAAGCUCUGUUCUAUGGGAAGAAAAGGACUGUACCAUAGGAGAAAGCCCCGGCUAAAUACGUG